rnacentral:lncRNA from 1 species
AAUCCGUAAUGCGGAUCUUCCGGAUCAAAUCUUAGGGGUGUGUUUUAUGUAAAUUAUGUAUUUUAUCGGUUCGAACUCUGAGAUGUGAUUUGAUAAUUGGUCGUAGGCAACAAUGAUUCGUGAUGUCUCGAUAUGCAUGCUAGGGAGUCGUAGCGCGGACCUCAGGUGAGUGGAUCUUUCCUUGCUUAUCAUAUUUUUCGUGAUUGAUAAUUCUAUAAAUGCUUUUAAAUAAAACUGAGAAAUUUAUGCCAUGACAUAUAUAUAUAUAU